rfam:Anopheles gambiae str. PEST whole genome shotgun sequencing project, whole genome shotgun sequence.
AAAACGGCCCUUUUCAGGGCCACUGAUUGAAUUGCAGUAAAAAGAA